GGGAGACUGGUGAACAGCAUGGUGCCAGAGCAGGUUGUGAUGAAGAAACUGAGUCUCAGUGAAGUGAACUGCCUAAGGUCACAUAGCCAGUUGGUUGAGGAGCCAGGAUUCAAACCCAAGCCCAUCUGAGUGCAGAGCCUGUGUUGUUAUCACUGUGGAACUAUGAAGCACCCUUUUGGUGUUGGGCUUUGCGCUACCAAUAGAGACGAUGUGGAAGAAAACAAGCUCGCUUCCCUCAUUUCCCUCAGCGUCAAGUGAAACACGCAGGCCUGAACAGACCUUCGGUAGCAGCAGCUGAGGAAGAAAGCAAAGGCAGCAUCACCACUCCCUCUCUGCUGCUACAGUCACCCUGAGCCAGGGACCUGCAAUUGUUGGCAUCUGACCUCCUUCUGGCCCUGACGGUUCUUUGUGAUUUCAGUUCUCUACCUCAUGGCCCAGGAAAGUUCUGCUAAUCUUCCAGGGGCCACCUCCUCUGGGAGUCUCGCCUGGCCCUCCCAGUAUGAGUGUUCAAAACACACACUUGGGCCCUAUUAUAAUUUGUCAGAGGUAAUGAUCUGGCCCUACGCACUUGGGUUCUCUAAGGGCAGGGCCUGGACCUCCUUCCCUUCUUUUUUGGAAAUCUGCACAGGAAAUGUCAGUAAAAUCUCACCUGCUAUUGUAA
rnacentral:lncRNA from 10 species